rnacentral:rRNA from 1 species
ACUCCUACGGGAGGCAGCAGUGGGGAAUAUUGCACAAUGGGCGCAAGCCUGAUGCAGCGACGCCGCGUGAGGGAUGAAGGCCUUCGGGUUGUAAACCUCUUUCAGCAGGGAAGAAGCGAAAGUGACGGUACCUGCAGAAGAAGCGCCGGCUAACUACGUGCCAGCAGCCGCGGUAAUACGUAGGGCGCAAGCGUUGUCCGGAAUUAUUGGGCGUAAAGAGCUCGUAGGCGGUUUGUCGCGUCUGCUGUGAAAACCUGAGGCUCAACCUCGGGCUUGCAGUGGGUACGGGCAGACUAGAGUGCGGUAGGGGUGACUGGAAUUCCUGGUGUAGCGGUGGAAUGCGCAGAUAUCAGGAGGAACACCGAUGGCGAAGGCAGGUCACUGGGCCGCAACUGACGCUGAGGAGCGAAAGCAUGGGGAGCGAACAGGAUUAGAUACCCUGGUAGUCCAUGCCGUAAACGUUGGGCACUAGGUGUGGGGCUCAUUCCACGAGUUCCGUGCCGCAGCAAACGCAUUAAGUGCCCCGCCUGGGGAGUACGGCCGCAAGGCUAAAACUCAAAUGAAUUGACGG